AUGAUGAUCCUGGAGAAGUGCCAGCCGCCGGAGUGGAAGGCAGAGAUGGAGGGGAACGGCAUGAGCACACACUCCAUGGGAGGCCUACUCACUGUGUGGAACGAGUGGGAAAUCCGCGUGCUUGUGCUCACCAGCCUUGCGCUGCAGGUGUUCCUCCUCUUCUCCGCCGGCAUCCGGAAGCGCAACGUCUCCGCCUUGCUCAGCGUGCUCCUCUGGCUCGCCUACCUACUCGCCGACUCCAUUGCCAUCUACGCGCUCGGGUACCUCUCCCAGACGCGCGUGCCCAGAGGCGGCAGUGACGAUGCACAGUCGUUCUUCAACCGCAACCACCGCAUCCAGGUCUUCUGGGCGCCGUUCCUGCUCCUUCACCUCGGUGGCCAGGACACCAUCACUGCCUUCUCCAUUGAAGACAACGAGCUCUGGAAGCGUCACCUGCUCAGCCUGUUGUCGCAGGUUGCCCUUGCUGUCUACGUCUUCUCCAAGUCUCGCCCUGGUGCCGAUAUCCUAUACCCGGCCAUGUUCAUGUUCCUGAGUGGCAUUCUUAAGUACGGCGAGAGGACAUGGGCGCUCAAGUGCGCCAGCAUGGACAACCUGCGGAGCGGCAUGGUCACGACGCCGGACCCGGGCCCCAAUUACGCCAAGUUCAUGGAGGAGUAUCGCUUCACACGUGAGGCGGGGCUCCAGGCGGAGAUCAUCAUCGAGCCAGAGCGACGCGCUGGUGUCACCGCCCCGGCAAUCACAGAGGAGACCGUGCCUUACGCCACGGUCAUCACCGAGGCGCGGUGCUUCUUCGUGACCUUCAAGCGCCUGUUCGUGAACCUCAUCCUCAGUUUCCAAGACCGUACCAUGAGCCAGGCCACGUUUCUGCGGCUGAUGCCGGAGCAGGCAUACAAGAUCAUCGAGAUCGAGCUGUCCCUCAUGUAUGACACCCUGCAUUCCAAGGCGGCGGUGAUACACACCUGGUAUGGCCGCCUGUUCCGCUGUGUCACACUCGUCUCCACGAUGACAGCGUGCGUCCUCUUCAAUGUGCCACACAAGGGUCGACGCGGGUCGUACGACGGCAUCGAUGUCCUCAUCACCAAUCUGUUAUUCGGAGGAGCACUUUGCUUGGAGGUUUCUGCCAUUGGUAUGAUGCUUGUAUCAUACUGGACAUACGCAGCUAUGCGAGGUUCCAUCUGCCAUUCGCUCAGCCAUCUGAUCCUCCGGUGUAUAAAGUAUUUCCGGCCAGAAAGCCGGGCGAAGUGGUCCAAUUUGAUGGCGCAGCACAAUCUCAUCAGCUUUUGCCUCCAGGACAAACCAACAUUGGUCACCAAGAUCCUGAGCCUGCUCGGACUCAAAGGGCACUUGGACAGUUGGCUGUACAUCUGGCACAUAGACGUGUCGCCCGAGCUGAAGAUCUCGGUGUUCAGGGAGCUGAAAGACAAGGCGCUCAGCAUCGUGGACACCGAGAGUUACCGCAAGUUCAGCAACCACAGGGGCCAGUGGGCGCUCCAGUGCAAGGGCUACUACAAGGAGCUCGGCUGGAGCGUCGAGGCAGAGUUCGACGAGAGCAUUCUUCUCUGGCACAUCGCCACGGACCUCUGCUUCUUCUCGGACGACGGCAACAACGACGACGCCAAGCUCACCGAGUAUGUCAGCAUCAGCAGGGCGGUGUCAAACUACAUGCUUUUCCUGCUCGUGGCUCGGCCGUUCAUGCUGACUGCGGGCAUCGGGCAGAUCCGGUUCGGGGACACAUGCGCGGAGGCCAAGAACUUCUUGGGGCGGGAGGCGACACGGCCGGAUGAGCGUGCCGCGGCAAGGAUGGUGCUGGAGGUGAACGCGGAGAUUGCGCCGAGGGACGUGAAGGGGGACAGGAGCAAGUCGGUGCUGUUCGACGCGUGCCGGCUGGCCAAGUCGCUGCUGGAGCUGCCGCCCGGCAAGAGGUGGCGGCUCAUUCGCGUGGUGUGGGUGGAGAUGCUCUGCUACGCCGCGAGCAAGUGCCGGAGCAACUUCCACGCCAAGCAGCUGAGCAACGGCGGCGAGCUGCUCACCGUCGUCUGGUUCUUGAUGACGCACCUGGGGAUGGGCGAGCAGUACCGGAUAGAGGCUGGACAUGCAAGAGCUAAACUAAUUGUGGAGAAGAACUGA
rnacentral:rRNA from 1 species